UGGGGGGGGGGAGUGGAGUGCCUGGUGGCAAAGAUGGGGGGGGGCUGUGCGCCCCAACAGGCCCACUAAAUCCUGGGUGUCUAUCCCUAAAAAUCGAGGUCCCAUGUCAUGUUUCCGGGGUGCCCUGUGCUUGUGCAACAUGGGCGCGUGGUGCGAACCAACGUGCGUGGCACCCUAGGCCUCAGUGGUAGUGGCAGGACCUGUGCUCAGUUAGAGGGUUACAAGGUAGGCGCAUCCCGGCCGACUGAGUUAAGGCGCAGGUAGCUGGGUAGAGGGUUCUCACAGGGACCUACUUGCUAAGCAGGGGACAGUCCCCUGGAUCGGCUGGGGGGGGGGGGGGGAGCGCGCAGCCUCCACCUGCCUGAGCAGGCAGGGCGGGCUGUGAGGCACCUCGAAUAGCAGCCAGAUAGAUCUUACUAAGCGCCCCUAACCUCUGCUUUGCCUGGGAUCUCCUAGCAGCCUUUGGGGGGCCACCAGGUGCACCAUGAAGGGAAGGCUGGCUUGGCCACGCCAAAUCUGGGCCCCGCGUGGAGCCCCCGCACAAUGUCUGCGCCCUUCAGCAGAAAAAGAAGCAGGGCGGGAAACGUAGCUCAAACCAGACCUGUAAACCAGAGCUCACUGAAGUGCUUCUAAGCGGCGCGCCUUUGGGACCCCACCCAGUAUGAGCAGAUAACAGUUCCCUGUCCUCAGCACUUUGAAUUUGCUUAGUUGCAGGUUCGGCCCCAGGGGCCAAUGCGAUAAUUCCGGGCUAUUAAGAAACUCUCCCCGGGUGGUUUCAGAUAUAAGAAGCCAUUGUGAUUUUUACCAAGUCAAAAUCACUUCUAAACCGGUGCACCUUGUUUCCCUCUCCCGACCUCCGCACCUCUAGGCCUCUAAAGGGCCACUACUGGCGGAAACCAGUGCACCCGGGGCUAACCUCCCGGCCCGACCAUCAAUCACCGCGCCCGCGCUCUACACUCGCUUCCCCAAGCCCUCGACCUGUAGGGUUGGAGGCUCCAAGCCGCCCGAGCGCUCUGCCCUUCCCGCUUCCUGGCCGCCCAGGCGCUUUCCCUACCACCGCGUUGUUUGCAGAGUGCACACAAAGUGGCGCGCGUUUCGGAGCGCCCAGCCCAAAGGAGCGCUGCCGCCGAGGGAGAAGCCAGCAGCCCGCUCCCGCGCUACUCCGCAGCAGCCCUGAGGACAAACUGCGAGGUAGCCGGUGCCCCGCAGUGGAAGAGCUGGGGCACGAGGGAGCGCGCCACGGGGAGCUCACCACAAGGCCGAAGGUCGGGUCCGCUGGCGCAGGAGGAUCGGAGGAGAAGGGCGGGAGAGCGGAUGAAGUGGGAGCUGCUGAAGUGGACGCUGCUGAAGAGGUCUCUGGAGAAGCCGCUGACUCACACCCCGGAGAUGAACUCCUGGACUUUGCCAGGGUCCCCAGCAUGCUCUUCCUCAUGCCUGUGCUGGAUGCCUGCCACAGAGGACACACUCAACUGGGCUGCGGUCUUGGACACCACAUAGGGACUCCACACCAGGAAGACCCAAGCAAUGCUCUAUGCCAAUCUGCAAGCCUGGGAAGAAGUCACUACCUGAACCACCAACAUGAGGAUUGCACCAAACUGAUCAACACAACCCACACCAAAAAUUCUUUCCUCAUCUGGAACCCUGCCUUUCCCUCUGGAGCUGUCUGACCUCCCCCCUUCCCCAGCAUUUGCUACCUUUGCCCCUGGACUCCUGGAAGCAUUACAGAGACUGCUGCCUCGUGUCUGCUUGGCUUACACCCCUUGUUCCCAAGAAGUGACACCUGGAGCGCACCUGAAUCCCAGAUACUGUGACUGACUAGACUUCCUAGCCUUGGCUGGUUCCUUGGCUGAGUCUUGCAUUUGCAGGAGCUCUGAUGCUCCUGUGCUAGAGAUACCUCUGUUCUGCUGUAUACCUGAAGGACACUCACCUCUGAGGAAAGACUGGGGCUGGUGGGAGGUUUCUGAGGUUUCAUUCAGUUCUGGGAGCGUGGGGAUCUCCUGGGCCACAGGCCACAGCACUUGGGCACGGGGCUGGAGUCUCGGGAUGCUCUAGCCUGUUUCUUCUCAGGUUCCGGCUCAGGCUUCAGCUCGGGCUCAGGCUCAGGCUCAGGCUUCAGCUCAGGCCUCGGUGGCAGAGGCCUCGGCUCGGGCCUUGGUGGCAGAGGCCUCGACUCGGGCCUUGGUGGCAGAGGCCUCAGCUCGGGCCUUGGUGGCAGAGGCCUCAGCUCGGGCCUCGGUGGCACGGGCCUCGGCUCAGGCCUCAGUAGCAGAGGUCUCAGCUCAGGCCUUGGUGGCACGGGCCUCGGCUCAGACCUCAGUAGCAGAGGUCUCAGCUCAGGCCUCGGUGGCAGAGGCCUCGGCUCAGGCCUAGGUGGUACAGGCCUCGGCUCAGGCCUAGGUGGUACAGGCCUUGGCUCAGGCCUAGGUGGCACAGGCCUCGGCUCAGGCUUUGGUGGCUCAGGCCUCGGCUCAGGCUUUGGUGGCUCAGGCCUCGGCUCAGGCUUUGGUGGCUCAGGCCUCGGCUCAGGCUUAGGUGGCUCAGGCCUGGGCUCAGGCUUAGGUGGCUCAGGCCUCGGCUCAGGCCUUGGUGGCACAGGCCUGGACUUAGGCUUCUGCAGCUCUGGCUGGACGAGAAGUUUAGCCUUAGGAGACUCAGAACCCUGGGUUAGGGGCCUGCAGUCGUCGUAGUCGUUCUCCUCUUCCUCCUCCUCCUCUUGCACAGUGAGCUCUGUUUUAAUUACUCGUCCCCUGAGGAGGAGAAGCAAAAAUCCUUGAGAUUAUCUCAAAAACAAAUCUUCUCCAGCUGAGUCUGGCCCCCUCCCCCCACCUUGCUGCUGGAUGGGGAAGCCCAAGGGUCACCUUGUCAUGGUUGGAGCACUCCCCCCUACCCUGUCCCUUCAGCUGCCUACUCUCCCCACCCCCUUCUCAGUAGAAGGGAGGAAGCAGUUGGUGAGAAGUCACUUUGCCAAGUUUGACAACUGUUCAGGGAGAGGCAGGAGACCCUCCUUUGGGAAGGACAAUCUGGCUCCUGCCUGGCUGGGGGCGGGGGUGGUGGUGGUGUAAAACUGCUGCUGCACACAAAAGGCUUUCUUUGAGGGGUCACAGCUAAAAAUGUGAAUGUCUCCCAUUCCUCUCCUCACACUUCUACCUUGGAUGGGAACAAAAAACAAAGGGCACAUGGAUCUGCCUUAGGAAGGCAACUUCUGGAAGGGGUGGCAGGGCUUCUCCCCAUAAACAUUAUACCGGUGGAUUAAGGAGUCUGGGAUCCCAGUUGCAGGGAAAAAAAGCUUUGUGCACAAAUGAAUGUGCAACUGGGAGUGCUGUGGCUGCUGCUCCAAAUUCCUGCCUGUGCACAGGGAACACGGAGGGGGGGGGGGGAGGGGGAGUUAAAGACAGACACAGCCAGGAGAAAAGCAGUUUUUGUACUUAAACCCUGCUAGGGAAUAGCAAGGCACAUCAUCCUAUCUAUCUACCCUCCAGUAUCCUGGUGGUAGUUAGGAGGUACAGGAUAUAAAAACAGGGAAACUUUGCUUUUAAAAUUUUAUAUAUAUAUAUAUAUAUAUAUACAUACAUCUACAUAAUAUAUAUGUAUAAUAAUAAUACACACCCCCACACUGCUCUAGAAUCUCUGGCCCCUCUGCACAGUUUAGCCGGGAGUGGGGUGGGGGUGGGGGGGAGGAGCGGGGGGAGCAUACACCAGGGGGAAAAUGUUCACACAGAAAAAUUUCACAUUUGCAAAAACAGCUGUGUACUCCUGCUGGGAAGAGAAAGAGCGCUGCCUCUCCCCUUUGCAUGGUAGAUUAGAGAACGAAACCAUACUUUCCUUGUAGCUUUGUGCAGCCCUUUAAGUCCCAGUCCCAGUUGUCCUUUUGUCCCCUCAGAAGUUGAAGUCACUCUUAAGACCGUCCGGUUUAGCGGCAACCUUCCCCCUCUUCAGAGACUAACUGAAGGACCCUAACUCUCCCAAGUCCCCAGCCACCUACCCACACCAGAAUAUUUAAACUGCACCUUCACUCAUACACAAAAGGCAUGAACAAGGGGAAAUCAAUUAGUUACCUGUACUCUAGUCGCUUCGUAGUUCCUGAAGUUCCCGGACGGUGGAUAAAGAGGACCGGGGAGUCACUGGUGCCCAAGAUUCUCUUCCGAAAUUGCCCGGACGAUGAUCCGCUGGCUGGGUCAAUAUUAGCAGCCCCCUCCAAAGCAGGGGGUGCUCUGGUUGUGGUGCCCGGGCCCUCCAGCCGGGGCGACGAUGUUGCGGCGGGGCUGGAAGGGGCUGAGUCUGAGUCUGAAGAGACGGUGAGAGGGAGUUUUAGAGCGUGCAUGAUAACAGAGCCCCUAGAAGUGGCUUCUGCUCUCCACCACUGAGUAAGGCACCUGCUCGAAUGACACCACGCUUUUAUCCCUCACCUCGUCCCCUCCACGCCCACUUCCAGCCCCCUCCAAAUUUGGGAAAUGAUAUGCCAGUAAAGUACUGCAAAGACUUAUGGGGCAGCUGGCUAUGGCGCUUUCCCACACUAGGGUAUGGGGGCAUUAGAGGGUGGGGCUUUGGCCCCUGCCUGACAGACAGGAAGGCGUCUAUGCAGGUUUGAAUUAAGCUAGAAGCACUUCCUGUUAGCUAGGGGGUAGGGACUAUGUGCAGGGGUGGAGAGUGGGUGGGGCUUCACUGGAUUGACACCUGGCAGUCACCUGACACCCUGGAAUGUCUGUGGGCGUGGCACAGGUAAAAAGGGGCGUGGCUUAUGCAAAUUAGGGUCCGGAUUUAAAAUAAAUAUUAAAAUUACUUUCUAAGGUC
rnacentral:lncRNA from 1 species